rnacentral:ncRNA from 2 species
CGCUCAUCCAGAGAGGCGGAGGGACCGGCCCUGUGAAGCCUCGGCAACCUCUGCUGGCGGCAUGGACUGCCGGCGGAAGGUGCCAACUCCGGCAGAAGGUGCAGCCUUGUUGCACGUCUUCUGGAAGAUGAGGG